UCGUAUGACAUAAUACAUAUGUAUAUUGUAUUUUCACAAAUGUAAUUUUGUGACGAAAACAAACUACAAACUCGACAAAGGUUUUCUCAAACUAUUGUAUUAGACAUUAGUAAUCCACAUUUGUAUUUUCGUGUUUAGAAUAGAAAAAGAUACUUUGGAUCUACUGACCCUCGUACUGGACACUAGCCUUCUCAGUUCUCGUAGAAUGGCAGAUCCUCCUACCCCUAGGGUUCAUCAACCCCCUCCUGAGCCUAGGUCUCGUCAACCUCCUCCUGAGCUUAGGCCUCGCCAGGCCCCACCAGAACCAAAAAACGCUAAUGCCAUGCCUCCACCACAGCCUAGAGAACGGCACCCACCACCCCAGCCUCGAGAACGGCACCAACCACCUCAGCCACGCGAAAGGCACCCACCACCCCAACCAAGAGAAAGGCAACCUUCACACAUAUAACAAUGACGGUUUUAUUUACAAUUUCUAUUGCACACAGUAAUGAAUCAGUUUUGUAAUAUUCAAUAAAUGUCACAUUUAGGACAAAAAACUUUAUACUAAGCCUUUUUAUCUGUUAUGAAACAUUAGGGGACUUCUAUAUGGGUAUUUUAGAUAAAGUAUUAAUUGUGGGGGUAAAUUUAUUUAUGUGUGUACUAGCCAUAAUCCUGAAAAAUAGCAACCAUAUAUUUUAAGCGAGUAAUAUAUGUGUUAUGUCUUCUAUCUGUUACUAUCCAUUGGAUAUUGGAUGGAGAAUUUAGUGGGAAUAUAGUUAGUUGGCAUUAAGAUUUCCUAAUUUGUGUUAUAAUCAUAGUAAUAUUUCUUAAGUUGUUGAAAGAUUAACAUAGUUUAUAGUACCACUUUACACUAACACUCAACAGACUCUACUGAGUCUUCUAUAUGUUAAAAGAUAUUGCAUUUGACAUUCCCAAGAGGUAUCUACUUGUUAAGUUGCAACUGGGUAUUGUAUCCUUUAAGAUUAAAGAGAAAGAAGUUUUUGUGUUUAUAUUUAACUCUUAUAUUUGACUUCUAUUGCAAUUAAUGUAAUUUUAAAAUAUUAGUUAUAACUUUAACAAUGUUUAGCAAUACAAAUAGUAUUUUGAUAAAAACCAACUUUUUAAAAUACAGUCUACAUUAUUUUUUUACAGAAUAUAUUUAAAAACUUGUGAUACUAUUUGUACCAUAAAGCCAAAUUUUGUGAAAUAAAUGUUUUUAUGUUGUUCAAA